rnacentral:rRNA from 1 species
CAGCAGCCGCGGUAAAACAGAGGGUGCGAGCGUUAAUCGGAUUUACUGGGCGUAAAGCGUGCGUAGGCGGCUUUUUAAGUCGGAUGUGAAAUCCCUGAGCUUAACUUAGGAAUUGCAUUCGAUACUGGGAAGCUAGAGUAUGGGAGAGGAUGGUAGAAUUCCAGGUGUAGCGGUGAAAUGCGUAGAGAUCUGGAGGAAUACCGAUGGCGAAGGCAGCCAUCUGGCCUAAUACUGACGCUGAGGUACGAAAGCAUGGGGAGCAAACAGGAUUAGAUACCCGAGUAGUCCCUGUCUCUUAUAA